rnacentral:lncRNA from 1 species
CGAAGAUUUUCGCUUUUACGAAAAAAGGCAAAAAGUGAAAAUAGCUUUCAGUGUUUGUUUUGCAGCUAGCUGUUACAGAGGCUAAGCAGUCAAGCAUGCUGUCAUACUCAAGCCUCCUUCAUCAGCCACAGCAGACAAUGAACCAUGACCUUUGACACUGAGGCAGGAAGACAUGGGCGAAGGUGUAGACAUUGGUGACCUGCCUGCCCUGAUGGAUCCAGACGAUGAUGAUGAGAUGCUAAUAGAUGACCCUCUUCCUCUCUCACCUAGCCCCUCGUCUCCUGUAUCUCCCAGCACCCCAACCUCCACUGACUCAGCCUAACACACCAUCAUCCCCACCACCACUUCUCAGCCUUCCAGUGUGCUUGCUGUCUUCCCACUUCUGCUAGAAGAGGAGUCCUUGCAGGAGAGGAUCUGCCUGUGUUGGAGAAAUUCUUUGGUGUGUCUUUGGGAGCAGAUCGCAUGGCUUGACAAGCAGUGUGUAGGUCUGCACCUGGGAUCCAAACCGGCGAACAUUGGGCUGCCGAAGCAGAG